GAACUAAUCCUCACGCUCUGUAUUCCAGCAGGCUAGCUCCAGCUGCACGCAUGACCCCGCCUCCCAUCCUCUUAAUCUCUUUGUCUCACUUUAUUCACAGCAACACACCUUGUGAAGACGAGCAGCCAAGGAUCAGAGCAGCACUUCACAGACCCUCCUCCUCCUCCUCUUCCUCCUCUUCCUCCUCAUUCUUGUUCUCGCACCAGUACUUGGUGUCAGAUGGAGCAGAUAACUUUUUGAUUGCCUUCUGGUCAUUCCGGGGAAGUGGAGGAGCAGAAAAAAGCAGGAAGGUAAAGAGUAAGAAAGAGGAGGAAAGCAGUGUCCCAGUGCUCUUCAUCGUCAUUACAACCACCAUCAUCAUCAAAAAGGUCUUGCCCUUUGAAAGAGUGAGUGUGCGAAAGAGAUCUGAUAAGCACGAGCUUUAGGGUUUGUGGCGCUGGAGUCCUUUUGGUGUCAAACCCACUGGAGAGUCCGUCUGGCUUCGACUGUUUCUUUAAUGGCGACGACAGUCUUGAGCACACAGCCAAC
rnacentral:lncRNA from 1 species